rnacentral:rRNA from 1 species
GAUGAACGCUAGCUACAGGCUUAACACAUGCAAGUCGAGGGGAAACGAUGAGAGAGCUUGCUCUCUUAGGCGUCGACCGGCGCACGGGUGAGUAACGCGUAUCCAACCUACCCAUUACAGGGGGAUAACCUUGCGAAAGUAAGACUAAUACCCCAUGGCAUUUUAUGGUGGCAUCAUUAUAGGAUUAAAGAUUUAUUGGUAAUGGAUGGGGAUGCGUCUGAUUAGCUUGUUGGCGGGGUAACGGCCCACCAAGGCAACGAUCAGUAGGGGUUCUGAGAGGAAGGUCCCCCACAUUGGAACUGAGGCACGGUCCAAACUCCUACGGGAGGCAGCAGUGAGGAAUAUUGGUCAAUGGGCGAGAGCUUGAACCAGCCAAGUAGCGUGCAGGAUGACGGCCCUAUGGGUUGUAAACUGCUUUUAUAGGGGAAUAAAGUGAGCUACGUGUAGUUUAUUGCAUGUACCCUAUGAAUAAGGACCGGCUAAUUCCGUG